rnacentral:rRNA from 1 species
GCCUACGGGGCGCAGCAGUAGGGAAUCUUCCACAAUGGGCGAAAGCCUGAUGGAGCAACGCCGCGUGGGUGAAGAAGGUCUUCAGAUCGUAAAACCCUGUUGUUAGAGGAGAAAGUGCGUGAGAGUAACUGUUCACGUUUCGACGGUAUCUAACCAGAAAGCCACGGCUAACUACGUGCCAGCAGCCGCGGUAAUACGUAGGUGGCAAGCGUUAUCCGGAUUUAUUGGGCGUAAAGGGAACGCAGGCGGUCUUUUAAGUCUGAUGUGAAAGCCUUCGGCUUAACCGGAGUAGUGCAUUGGAAACU